rnacentral:lncRNA from 1 species
AUUUAUACAUCAACUGGUAGGUGAUUUCAUCCAGACAUGAACUACGUAGCUGUAUCAAUUAAUUUAUAAUCAACAGGUAUGUGGAAUAUAAGUAUUCUAUGUGUAAUCUGUAUUAAUACUGACUCUACCAUUGCUCAGACAUUAAGAAAAAUAUCAAUAACAUCUAACGUCUAUAUCUUCUCCUCUUUCUUUUUAUCUCUUUACUUUUUUCCUUUAAAAUAAAGAAACAAAUGUAAAAUUGUUCCAAAAAAAAUUACAUCAAAUGCUACUUCAAGUUUGAGAUUUUGUAGGUACUAAUAGUCGGAUCAAAGAAGAAGAACUUAAAGAAUUAAACUAAUCAGUUCGACUCACUUGCAAGCCAGGGCUCAAAGCUUUCCUCAUAUUUGGUGUCCUCUAACUCUCUAAGGCUCGGAUUGAGAUUGGUGGGUUUUUGAUGUGUUUGUCAAUGAACGGUAUGAUGCAAGAAAUCAGCCAAGGCUAGUAUAGAAUCUAUCGAUGGUUGUUUGAAACACAUAGAGGAUUAAAUAUAACUUAAUUAUCACGCAGUUCACUUCCGAGAUUAUGAAGAUAAUAUCUUGUCCCUUUUUGUCAAAUAUCUUGGUUGAUAAGACCUCUUGUCAGGGCUGUACACUGAUGAGUUUGUACAGGAGAAGUAGAGAUCGUAUCAAAGUUCCGUUAGGUCUUUUUUAAGCAAGAGAAGUUUUUUCCCUUUCAUUUAUUUGCAUUUGUUUUUUUUAAAGCAAAAUUCAAAAAAAUAAUCCUAUAGAAAAGCUACAUAUGCCGAAAAAACAUUUUAAGUACGUAGACACAUUUUUAAAAGGUGGAUAAAUAAUUCUGUGUAAAAAUGUAUCUUCCAAUACAGAAUAUAAUAUCAUUAAAAUGUUUUUUUUAGAGAAUAUAUCAUUACAAUGUUGACACUUGACACAUACAUACUAUUACUUUUUGACCUUUUAAAUUGGUGUCCUUUUCAAUAAUAAUAAAAAAAGCUUAGGAACUAAAUGUAAUUAGAUAAAAGAUUGAAAACUACAAAUAUAACCAAAUAUUAAUUCGUGCUUUCCGUUUUUCAUUAGGCGAUGAUUUCGUGUCUCCUACAAUCUCGAAGCCUUAUGUUUGCAACAUCUGCACCUUCAUAUCCCACGUCGCAACAUUCCACUUUUCUCCCCUAUAAACAGAACAACGAAAACAUCCUAAUAAUAUUAAAACACCGCUUAUAGUGAAAAAUUAUUGUGAUUAACAGCAAAAUUAUGAACAAACCGGUUUGGGAGUUUUGGGAGAGAAGACACGGAUAGAAGCAAGAGGAUCCGCAGAAGUAUUACCAAAGAAGGAGCAAGAAGUCAUGUUUCUAGGAAACUUCCUUGUGUA